rnacentral:lncRNA from 1 species
UUUCUUUUAUUUCCUAUCUUUCCAUUCCUUUUUUUUAAUUCCUUGAAAAAACAGGAUCCUAAUGGCUUUGUAAAAAAAAAAAGAAGAAGAAGAAGAAGAAGGAGAAGAAGAAGAAGAAGAAGGAGAAGAAAUUCAGGAUACUGAAUUCUUAAAUUCCUGCAGGGUCUCUUCUAGCCUUACAUCUUUGAGAAUAUUGCCUUAGAAUAUUGCAAAGGAUACGUACUUAAAGGGAACAGAAUCCAAAAAUUUCCCAGCUGCCUCCCUCUCAGCUCUUUCCUGUUGGGCCCAGGAUUGUUCUUAUCACAGUCUCACUGGUUGACACGUCUUUCUCUUGCUCCUAAGAGGCAAUUUCGGACGUCCUGAUCUUUAGCAUGGAGCUCUGCACACCUAAGCAUGCUUGAAAAGGGAGAUGAAUGUCUGAAAUGAAAAUCUCAACUGAUUCAGAGAUAAAGAAUAUAAAAUCAGUACUUCUGGGAACGAGCCGCAUUAGUCUUCCUCUCUGCAGACCUACUUGCAUUCCAAGAAUAUUUUUCAUCUCUAUCAAAAGCAAGAGGGAUGCAGACAUGAUCACUUUCAUAGCUCACCAUGCCAAGGACCACAAUAACCUGCUGCAUAUGCUUCCUUUGUGCAUCAGUUAUAUGUUAAGAGACUAA